UCCAGUUGUUUAUUGAGUUGGUUUGGUUCAGUUAGAGUUAAGUAGAGGUUUAUUUAAUAUUUAUUUAUUAUUAGAGUUCAAGUCCUGAUAGACUUUGGGUGGAACUCUAUAAAUAGGGAUAUAACUGCUUCUUUUCAUUAAUCUAUGAAAAAUACUAUUCUGUCUUUUGACAAACCCUAGGAGGCCGAUCCCCUCGAAGCGAUCAAGGAGGGUCGAUCCCCUCGAAGCGAUCAAGGAGGGCCGAUCCCCUCGAAGCGAUCAUUAUCAUCCCCAUUUCUCUCCUUUUUUCGACGAUAAGACUUUAGGGUCUUAUCAUUUGGUAUCAGAGCGACGAUAAGACCUUUAGGGUCUUAUCAUUUGGUAUCAGAGCCUACGAUAAGACUUUAGGGUCUUAUCAUUUGGUAUCAGAGCCUACGAUAAGACUUUAGGGUCUUAUCAUUUGGUAUCAGAGCCAUGAUAGACUUUAGGGUCUUAUCAUUUGGUAUCAAAGCGACGAUCCUUAGCGUUCUCGCUGCCGUAGCUAUCAAUAAAACAAAAAAAAAAAAAGAAAGGAAAGAAAGAAGAAAGAAAGAAGAAGCAGCAGCAACCGUAGCCACGCACCCCUGCUUCCCCUACUUCCGACCAGCCCACCCGCCGUCGUCGCUGCUCUCCGGCCAGCAACCGACUCUGCCCCACUUCUGGCCAGAGUCCACCGCCGCCUCCCACCCGAGCCACCACCGCUGCCAGGAGAGGACGCUGCCAGCAUCCCACUCCGCCGCAGCCCUGCUCCUCUUCUCUACAGCCGCUGCAGGGCAACUCCUUCACCACCGCCGCUGCUUCCCGGUCAAUCGAUCACUGCCGCUCGCCUCCCAGCCGCAGCCCUAGUCGUGCCCCCCCCUUGGGUCGCAGCCGCAGCCGCAGGUUGCCGCAGCCCCUCCUUGCAACGGUUGCAAAAACAGAGUUCCUCUGUUGCCGCAGCCCCUCGUCAAUCACAACCGCGCCGCCUCCAGCACUCCUCUUCCCUUCCAGCGCGGUCGCCACUCAGCCGACCCAUCACCGCUGCGGGCCAUCGUGCGACGACCGCCGCACGCCUCCCAGCAGCCAAUCCUCCUUGCUCUGCAUCCGUAGUACCAGAAACAGGGCAACUCAUCGGUUGCCCUUGUUCCCAACCGUGACACCGCCGACUCCUCCUUCUCCACCGCUGCCGCUGUUUCUCUGCCGUACGAUCACCGCCGCACCGCCGUUGCCAGCAUCGCCAGCGGCUCUGACUGUGGUGCGAUAGAAACAGAGCACCCUGUUUCCCAUCUCCAGCAUCGCAACUUCCCGGCCAGCGACGACGCUCGCUGCCUUUUUCUCCACCGCCAACACUGCGCUCUAGCCAGCAACCACCGCUGCUGCCAGCCACCGCAGCCUUCUCUUCAACCGCUCGUGAUCCUUCCGGCCAACUCCUUCGGUGGUGCGACAAAAACAGAGUACGCAGCAACAAAAACAGUGGCACCCUCUGCUGCCGUAGCCGCCGAUUGUAACCAUCGUCGUCGCUCCCGGCCAACGACCAACCCCUCGUUCUGCAACAGCCGCCCUCCAACAGCGAACGCAGCAACCGUAGCAAGUACGCUGCCUUGCCUCAACCCCAGCAGCGCACGCAACACCGAUUCCUCUUCUCAACCUCGGCCGCAUCAACGCCGCCUCCCCCUUGCUUAGCAUAUUCUGCCACAACCACAGGUUGCCAUCACCACAGGUUGCCCUCACCGCAGCCUCAACCCCGUUGCUCGACGAUCGCCGCUUAGGUUGCAGCAGCUACAGUCACAUCAACGCAAUCGCCUUCAAACCCCGGCGCUCUCACCUCACGCAGCGAUAGAAACAGGGCAGCUACUCUUCCUCCAACGCAGCGACCGCAGUACUACCCUUGGCGUCCACCUCCUCAGCAACUUCGCAUCGACGGUGUUGAUGCCCUUUACCGACACCAAAAACAAGAGUUGAGAUUACAGAUUUGCAGUCGUACGCAAUGACCACUGAUAACUCGGUGAAAGCACAAAUGGAAGCAUUGGAAAUUAGAAUUGAGAACCGGUUACAAGUACUUAAUGAUUUUAAAAAGGACUUACUGGGGAGCUUUAGUAAAUUUCAACAAGGUGGGAACUCAAGUUCUACAUUGCACAGAUUUGGAAAUACUAGAAAAGGGCCCCAAAAUUGUGACACAAUCUAUUCAUACAUGAAGAGGGAUGGACAGCUCUCAAAAAUUUGUCAGACUUCUACAGUGUUGGAAUAUCAAAGUAGGUUUGAAAGAUUAUCAAAUCAAGCUAGAGAUUGGUAGGAACGACAACUUCUGGAUACAUUUAUUGAAGGUCUUAUUCCAGAGAUCCGGUGUGAAGUUAAGGCUCGUCAACCUCGCACUAUGAUAGCUGCGAUCUCAUUCUCACAUCUACAUGAGAAAAAAAUCAACAAGGAAAAUCAUAGAAACAGAAGUGACAAUAACCAGAUGAUCAGUAAGCCACCAACCCUAUCUAUUCCCAACCAAAGCCUUGACACCCGAAAACUAACCCAAGAAGAACUUAAGGAAAGAUCAGCAAAGGGUUUGUACUAUGAUGAAAAGUGGAGUAUGAAGCUCCGAUGUAAACAGGGGCAACAUAUGAUGAUUGAGCCAAUUGGAGAGGAACCGAAAGCAGAAGAGUUGGACUCCGAUCAUGAAGGUAUAAAUUCUAAUGAAGACAUUGAACCUACCGUACAUACAAUGCAUAUAUUAGCUGACUACUGUAACCCGCAAACUAUGGAAGUUGCCGGAACUCUAGAGCAUCAGCCUAUUAUAGUUUUGAUUGAUACUGGUAGCACUAACGAUUCUAUGGACAGUGAGACUGUUGACCGAUUGGCUCACCACAUUGAAGACUAUGACAGAUUCGAAGUAAAGAUCGUUGAUGGAUGGAUUUUAACUCAUGAUAGCAAAGGCCAGGAAUUUUUUGCAACGAUUACUACACUAAAAGAUCGGCCUAUUGCUUACACUGUCAAAAAGUGAAGACCAUACUUACUUGAUCAACGAGUUGUGAUGCGUUGCAGAUAGUCUAUGGCUAAAGUGCUGAAAGAGAAGCUCCCCGAGAUUGAUGCUGCUCAGCCUUGAGGACAAGGCUGAUUUGAAGAGGAACUGUUAGGACCCAUUUUCUGAGCUUUUGAAUAAUGUUUAUUGAGUCUGUUUAGUCCAGUUGUUUAUUGAGUUGGUUUGGUUCAGUUAGAGUUAAGUAGAGGUUUAUUUAAUAUUUAUUUAUUAUUAGAGUUCAAGUCCUGAUAGACUUUGGGUGGAACUCUAUAAAUAAGGAUGUAACUGUUUCUUUUCAUUAAUCUAUGAAAAAUACUAUUAUGUCUUUUGACAAACCCUAAGAGGCCGAUCCCCUCGAAGCGAUCAAGGAGGGACGAUCCCCUCGAAGCGAUCAAGGAGGGUCGAUCCCCUCGAAGCGAUCAAGGAGGGCCG
rnacentral:lncRNA from 1 species